ACGCAUACAUUUCGCACGAUUCGUAUAUCCUCAAUAAUAGGGUUUGGGGGUCUCUACAAGGAACCGUAAAUUCCUGGCUACGAAUGGGUGUCAUUGACAU
rnacentral:ncRNA from 2 species